CGAUUCUCGCUAUUUCUCUCAUUAUUUUCUCUGUUUCUCUCAUUCUCUUCCUCACCUCCAAUCCGCCUUCAUCUCAUUCGAUCAUUUGAGGAGACCAGGCGCCUCCUCUGAUCUUCAAAUACCAGAUCCAUGACUUCGCCUCUCUGCAACUUUGCUCAUUUUCGUUGCCGUCUCUGCAUUUCUUUGAUGCCUCCGCUGCAUUUCUUCAUCUCCGCCGAUGUAGUUCUUUGACUCUACCCCUGGGACUCUGUUCGUUUGAUGCCACUGACCCUUCGUUUCUCCUACUACUCCGUUAAAUUCAUGGAUCCCCUACGACUUAUCACUUUGUUGUCUUUAUUUUUGCUUUGGGUUAGGAUAUCUUGGAUUGGGGCCUGGUGGCGGAUUGGAACCUUUGAUGGUGGAUUGGAGUUGUUGGUGACAGUUCACAGUGGCUGGUGGCUGGUGACGAACAUAGAGACAUUGUAGAUUCUUGUUAAGAGAAGAGGACUGUAAUGAUAUCAAGUUUGGAGUGGGCAAUCAAGUUGAUUUCUAUGAUGUCUCAUUUGUCAAAGAUGCUAAAGGGGGCCCUUAUGGUGACGCAUGGCAAAGUGUACAAUGCAAUGAGUCUCAAAUAUUGAGUAUAUACGGUGUUUGAGAAAAUGCCUCAUAAAGUGCUAUGUAUUUAUAAUGCGCAAAAUGGUUUGAGAAAAUACUUCAGACAACAAGGCAAUGCUUGAUCUUGGUAUGAAAGUAAAUGAUUUCUCUCUCUAGUUGGCUUGUAAUUAAUGUUAUGUUAUUUGGGUUUCAAAUGCCUAUUGGUUUGUGACGUAAGAUUAGACAGCAUUUGGUUGUGUAUUGUGUACUCCUUGUCUUAUAAAGCUAAAAGGAAUUAUUGUAAUUAUUAGAGGCAUGGUAUACUUCCAUAACAAAGAAUAUAUUGAUAUAUAUAUAUAUUUAUAUAUAUAUAUGUAGAAUCUGUCAUAACAUAUUUGGUUUUUUUUUCUCUCUUCAUUACUUUGGAUGGUCUAAUCAACUGGACCUAAUUAGUGCCUCACCAUUUAUUUUCUCUUGGUUAUUUAUAAGCUCUUGUAGUUCUUUAAUAUAUUUCUCAUAGAUGUGAUUCUACUUAGUGUCAUCUUUCAUUCUGACAACCUUGUGUGUAAGCCAAAAAUCAAAGUCAUACAUUUGUUUCUUAUUAAUAAUUAUGAUAUUGUGUUAUAUAUUUGAGUGGUUGAGUGUUAUAUGUUUUAUAAUGAAUAAUAUAUUUACCAAUCAUAAUGACUACCAUGUUUACUUUUCAGAAGGAUCUUUUGUUCUAAGAGACAUGGGAGUACCAGUGAACACAUCAGAGGAAACUUAAAUUGAAAUUGCAGAGGCUGACACAGAGGAAAAAGGUGUUGCUGAUGUAGAAUGCAAUGAUGCGUGAAUGAAGCAAUCCCGAGGUAGCACGCUCAAGCACAGAAUCACUAAUUUCGUGGUCCUCUAAGAAACAAACCGUGGUAGCACGCUCAAGCACAGAAUCAGAGUAUCAAGCGUUAGCCCAAUUAGCUGCUGAACUGACUUGGCUGGAAGGAUUACUGUGUGAAAUGAAAUUCAAACUUAUGGCAACUCUUGUUAUAUGGUGUGAUAACAUGAGUGCAAGUGCACUCGCAUCCAAUCCCGUCUAUCAUGCUCGCACGAAACAUAUUGAGCUUGACAUUCACUUUGUAAGAGACAAGGUUUUACAGAAGAAGUUAGAAAUAAGAUAUGUGCCCUCACACGAUCAAGUCGCAGAUUGUUUGACAAAGGGUUUAUCACCAACACGUUUUCAAUUUCUAAUAAGCAAACUCAAUGUAGUUCCAGCUCCAUUUCGCUUGAGGGUGGUGUCAAAGAAAUUGAAAUUGCAGAGGCUGACACAGAGGAAAAAGGUGCUGCUGAUGUAGAAUGCAAUGAUGCGUGAAUGAAGCAAUCCCGAGGAGGAUUUUAUUGUUACAUUGUUUUGCCAAUUCUGUUAUGUAAUAAUUUGUAAUAUUCCCUUCUAUGUACACGUGUCUCUCUUUCUAUGGGUUUGUUUUAUACCCGUUGUAAUUCCUCUGCUAUAUAAUGAGAAGGCCUCUGCUCAUAAUUGUUGAGCUGAUUCAAUCA